rnacentral:sRNA from 1 species
UAAAGAAUGACCAAGAAGUUUGUCCAGGUUGAUAUGUGUCCAGUGAGCAGUUGAAAAUAGGGUUUUGGAGUAUUUAAUGGACAGAAGCACUGCUCAGCACGCAGGCAUGUGAGGGAGCUGGGCUUAAAGGAGACUCCAGCAAAUGGAGAGACAGACCACAGUCCUGGGUUGGAAAGCUGAAUAUCAUUGAAUGCCAGAUCUUCCAAAAUAAAUGAACUGGCUUAAUACAAUUCUGAUCAAGAUGCCAACAAGAAGAGAGUGUAUCCAGACAAAAUGAUCUUUGAAAAAUAUUCUUCACCUUGUGGAAUAAACAGGAAAGCAUGGCUAACAA